rnacentral:rRNA from 2 species
GAAGCAACGCGAAGAACCUUACCAGGUCUUGACAUCCUCUGACAACCCUAGAGAUAGGGCUUUCCCCUUCGGGGGACAGAGUGACAGGUGGUGCAUGGUUGUCGUCAGCUCGUGUCGUGAGAUGUUGGGUUAAGUCCCGCAACGAGCGCAACCCUUGAUCUUAGUUGCCAGCAUUCAGUUGGGCACUCUAAGGUGACUGCCGGUGACAAACCGGAGGAAGGUGGGGAUGACGUCAAAUCAUCAUGCCCCUUAUGACCUGGGCUACACACGUGCUACAAUGGAUGGUACAAAGGGCUGCAAACCUGCGAAGGUAAGCGAAUCCCAUAAAGCCAUUCUCAGUUCGGAUUGCAGGCUGCAACUCGCCUGCAUGAAGCCGGAAUCGCUAGUAAUCGCGGAUCAGCAUGCCGCGGUGAAUACGUUCCCGGGCCUUGUACACACCGCCCGUCACACCACGAGAGUUUGUAACACCCGAAGUCGGUGUAGGUAACCUUCCAUGG